UGCCUGUGUGUGUGUGUGUGUGUGUGUGUGUGUGUGCAUACACACAAGCAUACACACACAUAUACAGACG